UACGUAGGGGGCGAGCGUUAUCCGGAAUUAUUGGGCGUAAAGAGUGCGUAGGUGGUUUUUUAAGCGUGGGGUGAAAGGCAGCGGCUCAACCGUUGUGAGCCUUGCGAACUGGAAGACUUGAGUGCAGGAGAGGAAAGCGGAAUUCCUAGUGUAGCGGUGAAAUGCGUAGAUAUUAGGAGGAACACCAGUGGCGAAGGCGGCUUUCUGGACUGUAACUGACACUGAGGCACGAAAGCGUGGGGAGCAAACAGG
rnacentral:rRNA from 2 species